CGGCGGACGGGUGAGUAAUGCCUAGGAAUCUGCCUGGUAGUGGGGGACAACGUUUCGAAAGGAACGCUAAUACCGCAUACGUCCUACGGGAGAAAGCAGGGACCUUCGGGCCUUGCGCUAUCAGAUGAGCCUAGGUCGGAUUAGCUAGUUGGUGAGGUAAUGGCUCACCAAGGCGACGAUCCGUAACUGGUCUGAGAGGAUGAUCAGUCACACUGGAACUGAGACACGGUCCAGACUCCUACGGGAGGCAGCAGGU
rnacentral:rRNA from 1 species